GUCUUCUUCGUCUAAUGGCAGGACAUCACCCCUUCAAGGUGGAAGUGGGGGUUCGAGUCCCCCAGAAGAUA
rnacentral:tRNA from 1 species